CCAGAGAUGGAUUGGUGCCUUCGGGAACUGUGAGACAGGUGCUGCAUGGCUGUCGUCAGCUCGUGUUGUGAAAUGUUGGGUUAAGUCCCGCAACGAGCGCAACCCUUAUCCUUUGUUGCCAGCGAUUAGGUCGGGAACUCAAAGGAGACUGCCAGUGAUAAACUGGAGGAAGGUGGGGAUGACGUCAAGUCAUCAUGGCCCUUACGACCAGGGCUACACACGUGCUACAAUGGCGCAUACAAAGAGAAGCGACCU
rnacentral:rRNA from 1 species